GCUCUAGUGGUGCAAUAGGUUAGCAUGUGGUACUUAUAAAGCAAUACUGAGGAAGUGAUACUAAGGCUAUGAGUUCAAGCCUCACCUGGUGCA
rnacentral:tRNA from 1 species